UGGUAGUCCAUACCGUAAACGGUGCAAACUAGAUGUUGCGAGCUUCUAACCUCGCGGUGUCCAAGCUAACGCGUUAAGUUUGCCGCCUGGGAACUACGGCCGCAAGGCUAAAACUCAAAGGAAUUGACGGGGACCCGCACAAGCGGUGGAGCAUGUGGCUUAAUUCGAGGCAACGCGAAGAACCUUACCCAGAUUUGACAUUAACAGGACCGCCUAUGAAAGUAGGUUUCUCUCUUCGGAGUCUGUUAACAGGUGCUGCAUGGCUGUCGUCAGCUCGUGCUGUGAAGUGUUCGGUUAAGUCCGGCAACGAGCGCAACCCACGUGAUUAGUUGCUAGCAAGUAAUGUUGAGAACUCUAAUCAGACUGCCUGUGUUAAACAGGAGGAAGGCGUGGAUGACGUCAAGUCAGUAUGGCCUUUAUAUCUGGGGCUGCACACGUGCUACAAUGGCCGGUACAAUAGGUUGCGAUACUGUAAAGUGGAGCUAAUCCCCAAAACCGGUCUUAGUUCGGAUUGAGGUCUGCAACUCGACCUCAUGAAGCCGGAAUCGCUAGUAAAGGCGUAUCAGCUACGACGCCUUGAAUACGUUCCCGGGUCUUGUACACACCGCCCGUCACAUCAUGGGAGCUGACUGCACCCGAAGCCGUUCACCCAACCAUUUAUGGAGGGAGACGUCUAAGGUUCGGUUAGUGAACUGGAUG
rnacentral:rRNA from 1 species